AGCAUUAUACCGUGAAACUGCGAAUGGCUCAUUAAAUCAGUUAUCGUUUAUUUGAUAGUACCUUACUACUUGGAUAACCGUGGUAAUUCUAGAGCUAAUACAUGCUAAAAACCCCAACUUCGGGAGGGGUGUAUUUAUUAGAUAAAAAACCAACGCCCUUCGGGGCUUCUUGGUGAUUCAUGAUAACUNUUACGGAUCGCAUGGCCUUGCGCCGGCGACGGUUCAUUCAAAUNUUCUGCCCUAUCAACUUUCGAUGGUAAGGUAUUGGCUUACCAUGGUUUCAACGGGUAACGGGGAAUUAGGGUUCGAUUCCGGAGAGGGAGCCUGAGAAACGGCUACCACAUCCAAGGAAGGCAGCAGGCGCGCAAAUUACCCAAUCCCGACACGGGGAGGUAGUGACAAUAAAUACUGAUACAGGGCUCUUUUGGGUCUUGUAAUUGGAAUGAGUACAAUUUAAACCUCUUAACGAGGAACAAUUGGAGGGCAAGUCUGGUGCCAGCAGCCGCGGUAAUUCCAGCUCCAAUAGCGUAUAUUAAAGUUGUUGCAGUUAAAAAGCUCGUAGUUGAAACUUGGGUCUGGCUGGCAGGUCCGCCUCACCGCGUGUACUUGUCCGGCCGGGCCUUCCUUCUGGAGAACCUCAUGCCCUUCACUGGGCGUGUUGGGGACCAGGACUUUUACUUUGAAAAAAUUAGAGUGUUCAAAGCAGGCCUUUGCUCGAAUACGUUAGCAUGGAAUAAUAGAAUAGGACGUGCGGUCCUAUUUUGUUGGUUUCUAGGACCGCCGUAAUGAUUAAUAGGGACAGUCGGGGGCAUCAGUAUUCAAUUGUCAGAGGUGAAAUUCUUGGAUUUAUUGAAGACUAACUACUGCGAAAGCAUUUGCCAAGGAUGUUUUCAUUAAUCAGUGAACGAAAGUUAGGGGAUCGAAGACGAUCAGAUACCGUCGUAGUCUUAACCGUAAACUAUGCCGACUAGGGAUCGGGCGAUGUUCUUUUUCUGACUCGCUCGGCACCUUACGAGAAAUCAAAGUUUUGGUU
rnacentral:rRNA from 1 species